rnacentral:rRNA from 1 species
CAUAUCAAUAAGCGGAGGAAAAGAAACUAACAAGGAUUCCCCUAGUAACUGCGAGUGAAGCGGGAAAAGCUCAAAUUUAAAAUCUGGCGGUCUUUGGCUGUCCGAGUUGUAAUCUAGAGAAGCAUUAUCCGCGCUGGACCGUGUACAAGUCUCCUGGAAUGGAGCGUCAUAGAGGGUGAGAAUCCCGUCUUUGACACGGACUGCCAGGGCUUUGUGAUGUGCUCUCAAAGAGUCGAGUUGUUUGGGAAUGCAGCUCAAAAUGGGUGGUAAAUUCCAUCUAAAGCUAAAUAUUGGCGAGAGACCGAUAGCGAACAAGUACCGUGAGGGAAAGAUGAAAAGAACUUUGGAAAGAGAGUUAAACAGUACGUGAAAUUGCUGAAAGGGAAACGCUUGAAGUCAGUCGCGUUAGCCAGGGAUCAACCUUGCUUUUGCUUGGUGUACUUUCUGGUUGACGGGUCAGCAUCAAUUUUGACUAUUGGAAAAAGAUUAGGGGAAUGUGGCAUCUUCGGAUGUGUUAUAGCCCUUGGUUGCAUACAAUGGUUGGGAUUGAGGAACUCAGCACGCCGCAAGGCCGGGUUUUUAACCACGUACGUGCUUAGGAUGCUGGCAUAAUGGCUUUAAUCGACCCGUCUUGAAACACGGACCAAGGAGUCUAACAUGCCUGCGAGUGUUUGGGUGGAAAACCCGAGCGCGUAAUGAAAGUGAAAGUUGAGAUCCCUGUCGUGGGGAGCAUCGACGCCUGGACCAGACCUUUUGUGACGGUUCCACGGUAGAGCAUGUAUGUUGGGACCCGAAAGAUGGUGAACUAUGCCUGAAUAGGGUGAAGCCAGAGGAAACUCUGGUGGAGGCUCGUAGCGAUUCUGACGUGCAAAUCGAUCGUCAAAUUUGGGUAUAGGGGCGAAAGACUAAUCGAACCAUCUAGUAGCUGGUUCCUGCC